rnacentral:tRNA from 1 species
CGGGUAAUAGCCCAGUGGCAGAGCUCCCGCUUCGUAUGCGGGAAGACCUGAGUUGGAUUCCCGGCUGCCUGC